GGCCCGUUGGUCAAGCGGUUAAGACACCGUCCUUUCACGGCGGUAACACGGGUUCGAAUCCCGUACGGGUCA
rnacentral:tRNA from 1 species